rnacentral:ncRNA from 1 species
UUACUACUUAACAUACACAUGCAAGCAUCCACCCCCCUGUGAAAACGCCCUUCAACCCCUGCUAGGGGCAAGGAGCCGGUAUCAGGCACGAAAAAUCUGCCCAAGACACCUAGCUUUGCCACACCCACAAGGGAGUUCAGCAGUGAUUAAUAUUGAGUAUUAGCGCAAGCUUGACUCAGUUAGAGUAAAACAGAGCCGGCCAAUCUGGUGCCAGCCGCCGCGGUUACACCACGUGGCUCAAAUUAACCCCAUCCGGCGUAAAGCGUGAUUAAAGUUCUUACACACUAGAGCUAAACCAAAACCGAGCCGUGACACGCCUGUAACCAAGAAGAUCAGAAACGAAAGUUACUCUAAUACAACCAACUUGAAUUCACGACAGCUGGGAGACAAACUGGGAUUAGAUACCCCACUAUGCCCAGCCAUAAACUUUUAUUUACACCCUAAAUCGCCAGGGAACUACGAGCUAAGCUUAAAACCCAAGGGACUUGACGGUACCCCAUAUCCCCCUAGAGGAGCCUGUCCUUUAAUCGAUAAUCCACGUUAAACCUCACCAUUUUUAGUUAAUCAGCCUGUAUACCUCCGUCGUCAGCUUACCACGUGAGCGCCAAUUAGUGAGCCUAAUGUUAUUUCACCAACACGUCAGGUCAAGGUGCAGCAAAUGAAAUGGAAAGAGAUGGGCUACACUUUCUACAUUAGAAAAUACGAAAAACUACCUAUGAAACCUAGUUAGAAGGCGGAUUUAGCAGUAAAAAGGAAUUAGCACAUCCAUUUUAACCCGGCACUGGGGUGUGUACACACCGCCCGUCACCCUCUUCAAAGCUAUUAACAAAGUUUUUAACUAACAAGAGCACAAUAGAAGAGGCAAGUCGUAACAUGGUAAGUAUACCGGAAGGUGUGCUUGGAAA